GUAACUCAGCAGGUCAGGCAGCAUCUGUGGAGAACAUGGAUAUGUGAUGCCGGGGAUCCUUCUUCAGAUUGAUUCACUCUGCUGAGUUACUUCAGCACUUUGUGUCAUUUCACCUUAAAAUAAAUGCCGAUGCUGCUGGUCUGCACCAGUCGCGUUGAAGCAGUUGUUGUUGUGGCUCACGUUGUAGUUCCUGGUUUAGAACAAGAGAGCAAGAAAUAGUGAAAAGUCUAUGAAACUCUGACAGCAACCUGAGAACUAGUCCGGGGAGAAACACGAUGCAAAAACAAAGGGAUAUGUUGCUGCUCCUCCAGCGUUGUCGUGCCUACAUUCAAGAGCAACUUUUUGGAUGGAGCACAAUAUGCAAGGGGGGAGGGGAGGUUUCUUUAUCUUCCAAUUGAGGAAUUCAUAGUGAUGGCUGUCUUCUGUACUGAACUGGAAAAGACAAAGGGGAGGGAUGGGUCUUAGUCAGGGUAUCAUCAUGAAAAAAGCCUUGCAAAGAUUUUACACAGAGGGUGUUGAGUGCUUGGAACGCGCUGUCGGAGAUGAUGGUGGAGGGAGAUUGCGAAAGUGGCAUUUAAGAGACUCUUGGAUAGGCAUAUUCAGUAUGUCAGAGAGGACUCCCUUGAAAUUCUACAGGUGUGCAGAAGAGAGCUAUAUUGACUGGUUGCAUCACAGUUUGGUUCGGCAACUGGAACGCACAGGAGUGAAGAAGACUGUAAAAGGUGGUGAACACUGCCCAGUCCAUCACGACUAAACUCCCCACCAUCGAAGGCCUCAAGAAGGCAGCCAGCAUCAUCAGAGACCCACACCAUCUUCAUUUCACUCCUGCCAUUGGGAAGAGGAUAUUGGAGCCUGAAAACUGUAACGUCCAGGUUCUGGAACAGCUUCUUCCCAACAGCCAUCAGACUAUUAAAGCACUAAUCUCUAAAU